rnacentral:RNase_MRP_RNA from 2 species
UCCUCGCUCAAAGAAUCGCAUUCAAAGCUCACACACAGAGAGAUAUCUUGAUGAUUCUCUCUUCCCCCAGCUUUGGGAGAAAGUCCCCGGACAUCCUGACUGUUUAAACGUCCUCUUGCAGGGCCCAGUCAGGCAAUGCGGAAACGCGCCGCCAUAGAAGCAAUUCGAUAGCGGCUUAUACGCCCUAUUCCCCUCCCAGUGUUGUCUCUGUACCCGAACACAAGUUUUGACCGGCUUGUGGGUAACAAUGGUUGGUGCAGGGCAGUGCUGGAGAGGGGGUUUUAUCUGGGUUGCCUUUCGUCGUGUUUGGAUAGUCAUGCGAUUGCCCUCUUAUAUAUUUUUCGAACAGACCUCCAUUCGGCUGAAAAGUCGGGGAGGAUUUAUUGGGAAAUCAAGGGGGUAACUCAAUGGGGCUCAUUCUUGAGGCGAGG